GAUGAACGCUGGCGGCGUGCCUAACACAUGCAAGUCGAGCGAUUCUCUUCGGAGAAGAGCGGCGGACGGGUGAGUAACGCGUGGGUAACCUGCCCUGUGCACACGGAUAACAUACCGAAAGGUAUGCUAAUACGAGAUAAUAUGCUUUUAUCGCAUGGUAGAAGUAUCAAAGCUUUUGCGGUACAGGAUGGACCCGCGUCUGAUUAGCUAGUUGGUAAGGUAACGGCUUACCAAGGCGACGAUCAGUAGCCGACCUGAGAGGGUGAUCGGCCACAUUGGAACUGAGACACGGUCCAAACUCCUACGGGAGGCAGCAGUGGGGAAUAUUGCACAAUGGGCGAAAGCCUGAUGCAGCAACGCCGCGCGAGCGAUGAAGGCCUUCGGGUCGUAAAGCUCUGUCCUCAAGGAAGAUAAUGACGGUACUUGAGGAGGAAGCCCCGGCUAACUACGUGCCAGCCGCCGCCGUAAGAC
rnacentral:rRNA from 1 species